ACAGGGAUUGCCUUAGUAACGGCGAGUGAAGCGGCAACAGCUCAAAUUUGAAAGCUGGCCCUUUUAGGGUCCGCAUUGUAAUUUGUAGAGGAUGAUUCGGCGAGGGCUCCUGCCUAAGUCCCCUGGAACGGGGCGUCAUAGAGGGUGAGAAUCCCGUAUGCGGUAGGUUGCCUUAGCCAUGUGAAUCUCCUUCGACGAGUCGAGUUGUUUGGGAAUGCAGCUCUAAAUGGGAGGUAAAUUUCUUCUAAAGCUAAAUACCGGCCAGAGACCGAUAGCGCACAAGUAGAGUGAUCGAAAGAUGAAAAGCACUUUGGAAAGAGAGUUAAAAAGUACGUGAAAUUGUUGAAAGGGAAGCGCUUGCAACCAGACUUGUCCGCAGUUGCUCAGCCGGUCUCCUGACCGGCGUACUCUUCUGCGGCCAGGCCAGCAUCAGUUCGGGCGGUCGGAUAAAGGCCUCGGGAAUGUGGCUCCUCUCGGGGAGUGUUAUAGCCCGGGGUGCAAUGCGGCCAGCCUGGACUGAGGAACUCGCUUCGGCAAGGAUGCUGGCGUAAUGGUUGUAAGCGGCCCGUCUUGAAACACGGACCAAGGAGUCUAACAUCUAUGCGAGUGUUCGGGUGUCAAACCCGUACGCGUAAUGAAAGUGAACGGAGGUGGGAACCCGCAAGGGUGCACCAUCGGCCGAUCCUGAUGUCUUCGGAUGGAUUUGAGCAAGAGCAUAGCUGUUGGGACCCGAAAGAUGGUGAACUAUGCCUGAAUAGGGUGAAGCCAGAGGAAACUCUGGUGGAGGCUCGCAGCGGUUCUGACGUGCAAAUCGAUCGUCAAAUUUGGGUAUAGGGGCGAAAGACUAAUCGA
rnacentral:rRNA from 1 species